rnacentral:lncRNA from 1 species
AUAGGAAGAAACUGAGGACAGGAGGGGCCAAACAAGUUACAGUUUCAUCCCUCCAGAGAGCCAACAGAGUAUUUUGCACGAAGUUGAAGCUAAACAGAGUAAUCAGCAAAUGCCUUUCCUUUCUCCUGCUGAUGUUUUGCCCGUACUCAGACCCCUUGACUUCUUAGCUUCUACCCAAAGUGAGCUUGUCAUCAAAGUUCUCCAAAAAUCUGCAGUGUUCUCUUGAGCAAAUCUGCUUCCAAGACUAUAGCGCUCUGAUGCAUUGAGAUGACAGCAAGCGGCAUUUUUCAGUCCUGUUACCCAUAUGGCUGCUACCACUGCAUCCUGUUAAAUAAUGUCUUCAACCCAAGAAACCUGCUUCCUAGGGAAGUUUCUCUCUCUCUGCAUUUGUUCCCACUAGAGAAUGACCAUCACCAGAUUCCUGAACUGAAAAUGCUGUUGACACUUUGGAAACUCGGG